CAAAAUUGUAUUGUACAUCCGGAACAGUUUGCCAAGUAUGAAACAAACAAAAACACUAAUCGUAGGGAAAGUGUAUGAACGCAAAUUUCUGAUUGUCAUAUUUCUUGAUAUAAAGUGUUGCAAUUGUGAACAUCCAUCCAUUCGUUCUUUUUUCUGAGAUGCUUAUGCUCACGAGGGUCGCGGGAGUGCUGGAGCCAAUGCAGCUCUCAUCGGACAGGAGAUUGGGUACACCCUGAACUGGUUGCCAGCCAACUGUAGGGUACACGGAGACAGAUAAGUCGCACUCACAAUCACACCUAGGGUUAAUUUAGAGUCUCCAUUGAAUGCAUGUUUUUGGGAUAUCGGAGGAAACAGGAGUGUCGGAAGAAAAUGCACGCAGGCACAGGGAAAGCAAGCAAAUUCCAAGCGGGUGGUGGGUGGAACGGGGGGGGGGGGAUUAGAACCAGGUACUCAGAGCUGGGAGGCCAUCGCUUUAAAGCUGCUCCACCGUACCACAAGUCUGUUUGAGCAACCCAUGGCACCGCAAAUGGGCAUUUCAUUAAAUGUUGUACUCAAUGUACCAAAAUGUGUUCAGGGAAAGAAAAUAAAAGAAAAAGAAAGAAAUAACAUUUUGACAGCAUGCUUUGGAAGACCCAUUUGCCCCCAGGUUUUAACCUCCAGGCUGAUGUCUUGAGAAGUUACUUUAAUGUCUCCAUGUAAUGUUCUUUCUUCAUGAUGCCAACUAUUUUGUGAAGACCUCCAGUUCCUGCUGCAGCCAAACAUCCUUACAACAUGAUGCCGCCACCUCCAUACUACACAGUUGGAAUAAUGGCUUCUUUCUCUGUGAGUGGCCUUUCAGCCCAUGUUAGUGCAGGACUCAUUGUGGCCAAUGACACUUUCUUACCAGCUUCAUCCAGCAUCUUCACAAGAAAACCGGCUGGCGCCAUACUCCUCUCCCAGGCAUUGCCGUGGAGACGAACGACACCAGAAUAGGAGCGGAAAGUUACCAUCCCGGCCCAGGAUCUGACUGCGGAGGGGGGGCAGCCACUUCUAACAUGAACACAUUCAUAUAAAAACCUUGUGUUACUGGGCAGCUUUUAUCUUCUUCUUUGGCUAUCCUGCCAGAAGACACACGUCUCGUGUGCGGCAGAUACCUAGAUAAGACCCGGAUGUUUGU